CUACGGGUCGCUGCAGUAAGGAAUAUUGCGCAAUGGAGGCAACUCUGACGCAGCCAUGCCGCGUGCAGGACUGAAGGCCUUAUGGGUCGUAAACUGCUUUUAUUUAGGAAUAAACUCUUGUACGUGUACGAGACUGAAGGUACUAAAUGAAUAAGCACCGGCUAACUCCGUGCCAGCAGGCCGCGGUAAUACGGAGGGUGCAAGCGUUAUCCGGAUUUAUUGGGUUUAAAGGGUGCGCAGGCGGACUAUUAAGUCAGAGGUGAAAUCCCGGAGCUCAACUUCGGAACUGCCUUUGAUACUGGUAGUCUUGAAUACGGUUGAAGUAGGCGGAAUGUAGCAUGUAGCGGUGAAAUGCAUAGAGAUGCUACAGAACACCGAUCGCGAAGGCAGCUUACGAAGCCGAUAUUGACGCUCAGGCACGAAAGCGUGGGGAGCGAACAGGAUUAGAUACCCUCGUAGUC
rnacentral:rRNA from 1 species